GACGAACGCUGGCGGCGUGCUUAACACAUGCAAGUCGAACGGUGAACCCGGAGCUUGCUCCGGUGGAUUAGUGGCGAACGGGUGAGUAACACGUGAGUAACCUGACCUUGACUCUGGGAUAACUGCGGGAAACUGUAGCUAAUACCGGAUACGACCCUCGGCGGCAUCGCCAGGGGGUGGAAAGAAUUUCGGUCAAGGAUGGACUCGCGGCCUAUCAGCUAGUUGGUGAGGUAACGGCUCACCAAGGCGACGACGGGUAGCCGGCCUGAGAGGGUGAACGGCCACACUGGGACUGAGACACGGCCCAGACUCCUACGGGAGGCAGCAGUGGGGAAUAUUGCACAAUGGGCGCAAGCCUGAUGCAGCAACGCCGCGUGAGGGAUGACGGCCUUCGGGUUGUAAACCUCUUUUAGUAGGGAAGAAGCGAAAGUGACGGUACCUGCAGAAAAAGCACCGGCUAACUACGUGCCAGCCGCCGCGGUAA
rnacentral:rRNA from 1 species